rnacentral:rRNA from 1 species
UACGUAGGGUGCGAGCGUUGUCCGGAAUUAUUGGGCGUAAAGAGCUUGUAGGCGGUCUGUCGCGUCUGCUGUGAAAAUCCGGGGCUCAACCCCGGACUUGCAGUGGGUACGGGCAGACUAGAGUGUGGUAGGGGAGACUGGAAUUCCUGGUGUAGCGGUGAAAUGCGUUGAUAUCAGGAGGAACACCCAUGGCGAAGGCAGCUAACUGGGCAUUAUCUGACGCUGAGGCGCGAAAGCGUGGGUAGCAAACAGG